ensembl:processed_transcript
AUGGUGACUCCUGUGCUCCAGACAGGGUCUUGCUAUGUAGUGCAGCUGUGUACAUUAGACCUGCCUCUUGUCUUCCAUGUGCUGGGAUCAAAGGUGGGCGCAACAUCUGGUGGCCCGUACGGGGCCCGAGGACAACGACCUUGUGGAUUCAGAACUCUUCAGCUGAGGAACGGUGGUACCGGAACAAGAAAAUCCAAUCUGGGUACCAGAGCGAUUGACAUGAAAGCUGCCUACAACUUCUAUCCCGUCCUCCCCCACCCCCCCACCGAAGAUGAAACUAUGGAUCCUGUGGCUGGGAAUGCUCCCGCUAGUGAGAACUGAAGAGCUACGUUGGGGAAUUAUGUCUGUGUNNNNNNNNNNNNNNNNNNNNNNNNNNNNNNNNNNNNNNNNNNNNNNNNNNNNNNACAGAUGAGUGAUUGUGUUCAGCUGUAUCUACUAAAGCUAAUGCUACCUGGAUUUGAGGGGUGUGGCCUGCCAGUAUAUCCAAGGGCAAUGGCACUAUACCCUCCCAACCUAGAUGGGCCCCCCUAACCUAGAUGGGCCCCCCUUCCUUUUUGUAGGAGUAUUCCUGAUUCCCUUCCACCUUGGGCAGUGCUCCUUAUAUGUAUGGUUGUCAUGUGGGGUGAAUGGUAGUUGCACUGAUCCCUUGCCUCAGGGCUGAUGGGAGCCAUGGGAUGUAUGCUUGUAAUAGUGUGUGUGUUGUGUGUUUGGUGUAUGUGUUGGAUGCAGUGUGUGCAGGCCGGCACUUCCGCCAUGGUGGCGCAGGCCUUUGCCAGAGUGGAGGUGGGACAAUCUCCUCAGAUUUGGCUUGCCGCUCUAAAGAAAUAAUGCUGUGUUAUGCCAUGGCUUUCAAGGCUAAGCACUGCACAGAGGAUAGCUUGCUGUUGGCAUCCUGUGGAAGGCACGUCUGAUUGCAUGAAGGUUCAGUGUCCUAGUUCCNGCCAAGACCUCUCUGGGUGAUGAACCCAAAGGAUGGUUUUGUGUAGGGCCCCUAUGCUUGCACACUGGGGAUCAGACCUCUACCUUCACCCAUGAGGCUUGUUUGCAGCAAUCAAAAUUGGGCCAUAGAUUAAUCAGUGUCCUGGCCUUCUGGUGCAUCUGCUGCAUGCAGACAGGAAAAUCUCCUCAAGUGUGGCUUGGCAUGCUAGAAAAGUAGUCAGUGGCAGAUAAGACUCCCUGGGCAUGUCACCAACCUAAGACAGGGAUCAAAUCAAUGCUGCUUGUCUCCCAAGGACGGGCAAGGGGCAUUGCUGCAGGGGGCAAUCUAAGACAGACAUUCUCUCUGCCAAAAAAAAAGGGGGAGAUGUGAGGAGCGGGUGUGGCAGCAGUCACAAGAUGGCGCCCGGGACUGCAGCUAAGUCUUAUGACUUGCACCUGACUUCCUCAUACACCUGAAAAUAAGCCACGACCAUCGUGAGAGCUGCGCAGGUGUACCACCGAUGCUGGCAGUGUAAUCAAGUCCAUAUUUGGUGGAGACAUGCCCCUGCCGCCCUGAUUGGCUGAAGCUGCGUGCCUGGUGAGGUGGCAUGGCCUGCUGUGAGUGGUUGGGGGCUGAGAGUAUAUAAGCAGACCUCCCUGGGUUCCCAGGGUCCCCGUAAUAAAGGCUGUUGAGAAGAAUCCGACCGUGUUGUAUCUUCCUUGCCAGCCUAGGUGGGCGCAACAAAAGACGAUUUAUUAAGCAAGUGGGAAUAGAUAUCACCUAUAAACCUAUACACAACAGCUAAAGACAUGGCUUAGUGGGUAAAGGUGCUUGUUAAGCGAAACUGAAAAUCUGAGUUCUAUCCCUGCAUUCCACAUAGAAGGCACUGGAUUGUGUACACACACACACACACACGUUCCAAUAAAGAUU